CCUCGGUGACCUGCUGUGGGCAGAUGUAGUGAACGUGGACAUCAAGGGCUCCAGCUGUGAGGAUAAGACCUUCUCCGGCGAUGACCUCGGUAGCAGAACCGAUGCACAGAUAUUCUGCAAUGUUGUUCAUGAUGUUCGGGUUGCCAGCUUUGCCUAUUCCACGGAUAAACCCAUUUUUCACUCCAAUAUCUGCCUAUUUAUAACGAUGACAUUGAGAUAUCAGAGGAAGCAUAAGAGAAGAACGUACUUUGUAGAUUCCUUUCCAAUCGAUGACAAGAGCAUUAGUGAUGACGAGGUCCAAAGCAUCGCUGCAGCAUAGACCGGCGGCUUGACCCAUUCCUUCACGUAUA
rnacentral:sRNA from 1 species